rnacentral:rRNA from 1 species
GAUGAACGCUGGCGGCGUGCCUAAUACAUGCAAGUCGAGCGAACAGACGAGGAGCUUGCUCCUCUGACGUUAGCGGCGGACGGGUGAGUAACACGUGGAUAACCUACCUAUAAGACUGGGAUAACUUCGGGAAACCGGAGCUAAUACCGGAUAAUAUAUUGAACCGCAUGGUUCAAUAGUGAAAGACGGUUUUGCUGUCACUUAUAGAUGGAUCCGCGCCGCAUUAGCUAGUUGGUAAGGUAACGGCUUACAAAGGCGACGAUGCGUAGCCGACCUGAGAGGGUGAUCGGCCACACUGGAACUGAGACACGGUCCAGACUCCUACGGGAGGCAGCAGUAGGGAAUCCUCCGCAAUGGGGGAAAGCCUGACGGAGCAACGCCGCGUGAGUGAUGAAGGUCUUCGGAUCGUAAAACUCUGUUAUUAGGGAAGAACAAAUGUGUAAGUAACUAUGCACGUCUUGACGGUACCUAAUCAGAAAGCCACGGCUAACUACGUG